rnacentral:rRNA from 1 species
UGGGGGAUAUUGCACAAUGGGCGAAAGCCUGAUGCAGCGACGCCGCGUGGGGGAUGAAGGCUUUCGGGUUGUAAACCUCUUUCGCUAUCGAACAAGGCCCGCUUAGGGUGGGUUGAGGGUAGGUGGAGAAGAAGCGCCGGCUAACUACGUGCCAGCAGCCGCGGUAAUACGUAGGGCGCGAGCGUUGUCCGGAAUUAUUGGGCGUAAAGGGCUUGUAGGCGGCUUGUUGCGCCUGCUGUGAAAACGCGGGGCUUAACUUCGCGCGUGCAGUGGGUACGGGCAGGCUUGAGUGUGGUAGGGGUGACUGGAAUUCCAGGUGUAGCGGUGGAAUGCGCAGAUAUCUGGAGGAACACCUAUGGCGAAGGCAGGUCACUGGGCCAUUACUGACGCUGAGGAGCGAAAGCAUGGGUAGCGAACAGG